rnacentral:tRNA from 1 species
AGAGACUUAGGUUAAAAUCAGACCAAGGGCCUUCAAAGCCCUAAGCGAGAGUGAAAAUCUCCCAGUCCCUG